AAGGAUCAUUACCGAGAGCCCCCCUCCUCGGCCGCACUAACCCUGCGGCUGUCGAGGGUGCUAUUCUCACCACCCCUUUUUAUGCGUACCUCUUGUUCUUCCUCGGCAGGGUGACCUGCCGGUGGAACCUCAUCAUGAACCCUUUUUAUAGAGUACUACUUGUUCUGAUACCCUAAAUCGUUACAACUUUCAACAAUGGAUCUCUUGGCUCUG
rnacentral:misc_RNA from 1 species